rnacentral:rRNA from 1 species
UACGUAGGGUGCAAGCGUUGUCCGGAAUUAUUGGGCGUAAAGAGCUUGUAGGCGGUUUGUCGCGUCUGCUGUGAAAUUUCGGGGCUCAACCCCGAACUUGCAGUGGGUACGGGCAGACUAGAGUGUGGUAGGGGAGACUGGAAUUCCUGGUGUAGCGGUGAAAUGCGCAGAUAUCAGGAGGAACACCGAUGGCGAAGGCAGUUCUCUGGGCCGUAACUGACGCUGAGGAGCGAAAGCGUGGGGAGCGAACAGG